UACUAAAAAUGUCAUCCCCUUAUACUAUUAAAAAUUAAUGUAGAUGAUAGAAUAAUUAGACAGUGACACAUGGUGUGUAAUAUAUAUCUUAUGUUAAUGUAUAUGGACCAAUUUUUAACAAUAAAAAUAGAUUUUUUUAACA
rfam:Gossypium hirsutum cultivar TM-1 chromosome 13, whole genome shotgun sequence